rnacentral:rRNA from 1 species
GAGGACUUCGGUCCUAGUGGCGAACGGUCGCGUAACACGUAAGCAACCUGCCCUGAAGUGGGGGACAACAUCCCGAAAGGGGUGCUAAUACCGCAUGUGGUCACGAGUCGGCAUCGACUUGUGUCUAAAGAUUUAUCGCUUCAGGAUGGGCUUGCGGCCUAUCAGGUAGUUGGUGGGGUAAUGGCCUACCAAGCCGACGACGGGUAGCUGGUCUGAGAGGACGAUCAGCCGGAUUGGGACUGAGAUACGGCCCAGACUCCUACGGGGGGCAGCAAUUAGGAAUCUUGCGCAAUGGGGGAAACCCUGACGCAGCGACGUCGCGUGAAGGAUGAAGGCCCUCGGGUCGUAAACUUCUUUUGAGUGGGAAGAAAUUUGACGGUACCACUCGAAUAAGCCCCGGCUAACUACGUGCCAGCAGCCGCGGUAAUACGUAGGGGGCGAGCGUUGUCCGAAGUUACUGGGCGUAAAGCGCGCGUAGGCGGUUAUUUAAGUCUGGGGUGAAAGGUUCAGCGC